GAUGAACGCUGGCGGCGUGCUUAACACAUGCAAGUCGAACGAAGCACUUACGACAGAUUCCUUCGGGAUGAAGUUGUUUGUGACUGAGUGGCGGACGGGUGAGUAACGCGUGGGAAACCUGCCCUACACAGGGGGAUAACAGUUGGAAACGGCUGCUAAUACCGCAUAAGCGCACAGUAUCGCAUGGUACAGUGUGAAAAACUCCGGUGGUGUAGGAUGGUCCCGCGUCUGAUUAGCUAGUUGGUGAGGUAACGGCCCACCAAGGCGACGAUCAGUAGCCGACCUGAGAGGGUGACCGGCCACAUUGGGACUGAGACACGGCCCAAACUCC
rnacentral:rRNA from 1 species